GACUCAAACUUACGAUUCUUCGCUGCACCUCCAUAUACACACAGAUCGAAAUAGAGAGGUGAUGAAAGAGAGAGAGAGGCGACAAGGAAACGGGGAAAGAAGCAGAGAAAGAGAGAUGGAAAUAGAGGGGGGCGAUGAGGCCUAGGACACGGAGAGAGAAACUGAGAAGAGAGAGAGAGGCGACGAGGAAACGGGGAAAGAAGCAGAGAAAGAGAGAUGGAAAUAGAGGGAGGCGAUGAGGCCUGGGACACGGAGAGAGAAACUGAGAAGAGAAAGAGGCAAAACACGAUUACUGUCAGAUUUUCCGCCGCCAUCCAUUCCCUCGCCAGACUUAGAACACCGAAACCGCAGGCACACAUAGGAAUUGAGAUUGAGGAAGAGAAAUCUAAGUGACAUUAACUCCGUUCAGGCCAUUUACCUGCCAUCAUCAGAUCGUCGAAACUGCCACCGAUAGCAAAGAGUAGACGAGAGAAUCAAAAGCGUGUCCAACAAAAGUUACUAGAAGAUCUAGGAAGCAAAAAACUCAUGCCAAGUUCGCUGUAUUGGACAAGGGAACCGAAAUCUAUUCUAAUUUAAAAGAGAUCAGUGACUCAAAUAUGUUGGCACCACACCAAAUCCAAGAUAAGGUUCUGAAGGAUGGCUAGAAGAAGAACGAGAAGACUAUAUCUAGAUAUCUCUAAUAGCAACCUCUGAGGACAACCAUCCAAAGGCAAGAUGGAAUGUGGGGUACCGCUGCAAGUGUUGCCUUGAAAAGAAAAGACUGCAGUUGAUUCAAAUGCUCCAGCUACUGCUUGCAGUGCACACAAGACUGAGACAGGGACAGGGCUGAUGAAUAACUUUAUAUGUAAUAACAUUAUAACCUUAUUUCACAAAG